AACUCUUGAUGCUCUCAUCUAGCAUUAACACACCAGCAAAUAUUACAGAUUGGAAGUGCUUGUUGGCCCCAACAAAUAAUCCAAAGGGCAUGUUAUACUUAUUUGUCCUGUACGUGGUGUCGAAUGUGAUAGCAUCCCCAAAACAAAGGUAAUCAUGCCUGCUCUUUCCAUUGGUCCACAUCAUUGCCUUGAUCUUUCCACCCUCAUCUAAAUCAACUACAUUUGCAAAUCCUUCAUCCUCUUCAUGCAACCGGUUGAAUACUUCAAUGGUCUUUUGGACAUCGUCUUCCACCUCUCUGUUAAUCUGGACGUUGUCUUCAAUGGUUUUAUGGACAUUGCCUUCUACUUUCUCUCUGUUAAUCUGAACAGUCAGGCUACGCAGCGCUCUUUUUGUAACUGCAGAUGCGUUAUUGUUGCCAAAAAAACUGGAAAGGAUGCAGGACACCUCCGUCAAACUGACAUUGUUCGCCCUUAAAUUCUUCACUACUUCCUUUGUGUGGGGAUCAAUUUGCCGGUGUGAUUUCCAGCAACUUUGUUCCCCACAUGUCUUUGACAUUUUGUGGUUAUGAUCUGCAACAAAUUCUUUGAUAUACCACCCAUCAUCAUCCGUUCGCAGCAACCGCAUAAACGCGGGGCACCCCUGUUUGAUUGAUUUUUUUGAUCCUGCGUCUGGUGUGCCCUGCAAAUGAGAGCAAUAGUUCACAUCAACUAUUUCACAUUUAAUUAGCACAUGUGAACAGAUAAUUAUAUUAUUUUCAAGGAUGCAAAAGUUAAGGAACAUACCCCGCAUGCACACACAAACGACACCCUGUUGCGAUAAAUUUCACCACGCUUCUUGUAACUCUGACUGGUUGAAUAACGAAUCCCAAAUCCCAUCUCCCAUGAGUACAGAUUGUAAUAAUCAAACGCCUCCUCACAUGAAUCAAAUUCAAGCCCUGCACGUGGAGCAAUAAUUGGACCAGCCCCUCUGUCGCCAUAACGCCGAAGUGCUUCCUCCAAGGGGCUAAUGCGUCCAGGAACAAAUUUCCUUGAGUCUGGUCCAACACCAUUCUUCCAACGCCUGUUUUAACAAACCAUAAAACAUAGUUAAAAUGGAAAGUAAUUCAUCCAUCACAGUAACAGCUAGGGAAAAAAGUCCGUGUUCAGGAAAAAGUCCAUAAUACUUGAAUAUAUGAGAUGAAAUGAGCAGAGGGACAAUAACAACUAAACAGGGAUACACACAAAGCCUGUUUAAUUGUUUGAAUGCAACUGCAUUGCCUCCAAAGUCUCAACACAUCCAGCCAUAACAAUCAGCCCUGCUAAUGUUUUGAAGAAAUAAACAUAUUCUAAACAAGCAAGCAUGUUCAUUUCCAAUCAGUUUAAGUUAUCCAAGGAAAAUUCACAUGCUUAACAUAGAAAAAAUGAUAACCAAAAUCUUUCUGUGGGUUUCUAAGACUCCAGUCAAAACUAGGCAGAUGUCCCCGGGCAAUAACAAAAUGUCACAGGUUUUUCAAACCUCCCCAAACUUUACUCGCUCUAACUAUGCAGAUUUAACCAACUCCAUUAACUCUCAAGUUUCAACAUGAACCCGCCACAAUAUAUUUCAACAACAGUUGCAUCAUCUUAAAUGACCAUCUACCCUGCCUAUCCUAUUCCCCAUGGUUUGUCAUCUUCCUACAUUUAAAUCCACAAACAUUAACGCAUCCUGUCUACGAAUCGGACCAUCACCAAUUAAUCGUGCAAAGCUCCUAAGCGGUUAAGCCAUACACCACUCAACAGUGUGAAAACCCACUCAAAACUCUUGAUGCUCUCAUCUAGCAUUAACACACCAGCAAAUAUAACAGAUUGGAAGUGGUUGUUAACCCCAACAAAUAAUCCAACGGGUAUGUUAUACUUAUUUGUCCUGUACGUGGUGUCAAAUGUGAUAGCAUCCCCAAAACAAAGGUAAUCAUGCCUGCUCUUUCCGUUGGUCCACAUCAUUGUCUUGAUCUUUCCACCCUCAUCUAAAUCAACUACAUUUGCAAAUCCUUCAUCCUCUUCAUGCAACCGGUUGAAUACUUCAAUGGUCUUUUGGACAUCGUCUUCUGCCUCUCUGUUAAUCUGGACAUCGUUUUCAAUGGUUUGAUGGACAUCACCUUCUACUUUCUCACUGUUAUUCUGAACAGUCAGGCUACGCAAUGCUCUUUUUGUAACUGCGGAUGCGUUAUUGUUGCCAAAAAAACUGGAAAGGAUGCAGGACACCUCCGUCAAACUGACAUUGUUCGCCCUUAAAUUCUUUACUAGUUCUUUUGUGUGGGGAUCAAUCUGCCGGUGUGAUUUCCAGCAACUUAUUUCAGCACAUGUCUCUGACAUUUUGUGAUUGUGGUCUGCAACAAAUUCUUUGAUAUACCAUCCAUCAUCAUCCGUUCGCAGCAACCGCACAAACGCCG
rnacentral:lncRNA from 1 species